rnacentral:rRNA from 1 species
UACGGGGGGGGCAAGCGUUGUUCGGAAUUACUGGGCGUAAAGGGCUCGUAGGCGGCCAACUAAGUCAAACGUGAAAUCCCUCGGCUUAACCGGGGAACUGCGUCUGAUACUGGAUGGCUUGAGUUUGGGAGAGGGAUGCGGAAUUCCAGGUGUAGCGGUGAAAUGCGUAGAUAUCUGGAGGAACACCGGUGGCGAAGGCGACAUCCUGGACCGGUAUUGACGCUGAGGCGCGAAAGCCAGGGGAGCAAACGGG